rnacentral:lncRNA from 1 species
GCUCACUGCAACAGAAGUCCUUUUGGAAAGAACCCUAGUUCCAACCUCUGCUUUGGAAGUGUGCUGUGUGUGAUUUCAUCCCAUUAGCUGUGAUGGUCACCAUUUGGUCCUGCAGGUAUCGAUUUCAAAGAAACUCAUCAGAAGAGAUUUGUCAGCCAUCGGAUGGAAUUUCUGGUCGAGACCAGAAGGAGAUGGCAAAGUUGGAGUAUCAGGUCACAGGAGAAUAUGUUGCCAUUGUGCCAUCUGCUCCUUCACCAGUAAAAGGAGAAAAGUGAGAAAAAAUAUGGGUGCUUUCUGCUUCUCCCAG